rnacentral:pre_miRNA from 1 species
GUAUUAUUUCCUCCGUCCCAAAAUUCUUGUCUUAGAUUUGUCUAGAUAUGAAUGUAUCUAGUCACAUUUUAGUAUUUUGAUACAUUCAUUUCUAGAUAAAUCUAAGACAAGAAUUU